UAUGUAGUCUUUCCGUUCGGAAUUACUUAUCUCGAAAAUGGAUGUAUCUAGAACUAAAAUACGUCUAGAUACAUCCAUUUCUGCGACAAGUAAUUCCGAACGGAAGGAGUACAAG
rnacentral:pre_miRNA from 1 species